UUCUAAUGACGAAGACAAGACAAUGACGAGAAUGCACCAAUGUCCAAAACUGCUGACUAAGACUAAAUUAACAUGCAUUAUUGUUGAUAAAAAAAAAGACAAGACUAAAAUGUUUUGCAUAAAAUUCAAACAAAGAUAAAAUCUCUCUUAAUUUUCGUCUACAAUCGUCUACUUUUUCAUCAUGAGAUAGAAUAUUCAGCUGUUACUGUGA